CAGUAGCCGCGGGAAUACGUAGGGUGCGAGCGUUAAUCGGAAUUACUGGGCGUAAAGCGCGCGCAGGCGGUUUUUUAAGUCUGGUGUCUAAGUGCGGGGCUCAACCCCGUGACGCACUGGAAACUGGGAGACUUGAGUGCAGAAGAGGAGAGCGGAAUUUCCGGUGGAGCGGUGAAAUGCGUUGAGAUCGGAAAGAAUACCAACGGCGAAAGCACUCUGCUGGGCCGACACUGACACUGAGAGACGAAAGCUAGGGGAGCAAAUGGGAUUAGAUACCCCUGUAGUCCCUGUCUCUUAUACA
rnacentral:rRNA from 1 species